CACUAAUUCGCACGUUUGGCGCAGGUUUGCGCCGGCCCGGCUUGGUAUAAAAGUCUGCCUUCACGGCCAAGGUUUCAACAGUAAGAAUCUUGAAAGCCAUCCUGCCAGUAGUUCUAGACAAGAAAAUACAGGAUCAUCAAAAUGAAAUUCCUCACGUUCGUCUGCAUCUUCGCCCUGGUGUUGGCCGUUGCCUUCGCCCUGCCAGCCGUCAACGAUGAAUCCGUCGUGGCCGUGCCUGCCGAUGCUGCCCUCCUGACGGAAGCUGAGAACCCCCAGGAUCCCCAGGGAACCCUGAAACUGCUGCUGCUCAAGAAGAAGCUGCUGCUGUUCGGUUAGAUUCGUUACGAUGAUCCCCCCACUUCAAGGAUUUCGACAACGAUGUUGGCCUUGCACUUGGAGCUUGCACCAAUUUCCUACAAAACGAUACCUCUGUUGAAUGCUAACCUAGAAACAGCUGCCAUGCCAUUCGACGCGUUUAUAUUUUAGUUUAAGUUUCAGACAACCGUAAAGGUGACAAUCGACGACAGUGACAAACUAUCUUUUAGUGAGAAUAGAUUGAAUAAACGAUAAAAAAUACAAAA